GGGUCGGUAGCUCAGCCCGGUUAGAGCGCCAAGCUUAUACCUUGGAUGUCCUAGGUUCAAAUCCUAGCCGACCCA
rnacentral:tRNA from 1 species